rnacentral:rRNA from 1 species
UACGUAGGGUGCGAGCGUUAAUCGGAAUUACUGGGCGUAAAGCGUGCGCAGGCGGUUGUGCAAGACAGAUGUGAAAUCCCCGGGCCUCAACCUGGGAAUUGCAUUUGUGACUGCACGGCUAGAGUGUGUCAGAGGGGGGUAGAAUUCCACGUGUAGCAGUGAAAUGCGUAGAGAUGUGGAGGAAUACCGAUGGCGAAGGCAGCCCCCUGGGAUAACACUGACGCUCAUGGCACGAAAGCGUGGGGAGCAAACAGG